AGGGAUGUAGCUCAGCUGCACUGCACCUGCUUGGCAAGCAUGAGGUCCUGAGUUCGAUCCCCAGUACCCCUC
rnacentral:tRNA from 1 species